CCUACGGGAGGCAGCAGUGGGGAAUAUUGGACAAUGGGCGAAAGCCUGAUCCAGCCAUGCCGCGUGUGUGAAGAAGGUCUUCGGAUUGUAAAGCACUUUAAGUUGGGAGGAAGGGUUGUAGAUUAAUACUCUGCAAUUUUGACGUUACCAACAAAAUAAGCACCGGCUAACUCUGUGCCAGCAGCCGCGGUAAU
rnacentral:rRNA from 1 species